AGUGAACGCUGGCGGUAGGCCUAACACAUGCAAGUCGAACGGCAGCACAGUAAGAGCUUGCUCUUACGGGUGGCGAGUGGCGGACGGGUGAGGAAUACAUCGGAAUCUACUUUUUCGUGGGGGAUAACGUAGGGAAACUUACGCUAAUACCGCAUACGACCUACGGGUGAAAGCAGGGGAUCUUCGGACCUUGCGCGAUUGAAUGAGCCGAUGUCGGAUUAGCUAGUUGGCGGGGUAAAGGCCCACCAAGGCGACGAUCCGUAGCUGGUCUGAGAGGACGAUCAGACACACUGGGAAUGAGAGACGGCCCAGACUACUACGGGAGGCAGAAGUGGGGAAGUUUGGACAAUGGGGGCAACCCUGAUCCAGCAAUGCCGCGUGUGUGAAGAAGGCCUUCGGGUUGUAAAGCACUUUUGUCCGGAAAGAAAUCGCACUUACUAAUAUUAGGUGUGGAUGACGGUACCGGAAGAAUAAGGACCGGCUAACUACGUG
rnacentral:rRNA from 1 species